AGUAAUGUUCUAGUUAAAGAUGCUGAAAAGGUUAAAAGUGGAUGUUAAAUAAUUCACUUCAGCAACUUGAAUGUGGUUAUGGUAAGAGUUCAUGUUACCCGAGUCAUGUUUCUACGUCAAAAAGCCCAUUGUACUUUGUUUGAUCUCAUCAAGAAGAUGACAAAGACCUUCUCUCUGCGUGGAAAUGACGUAAUCCUCGAGAAACCACCUGUGAUGGACUUCAUUUGAGCUUUCCCAGAUGGAGGAGGAGGAAUUUCCUCCUCGUCAUCCUGCACUUUGCCCGAAGAGAAGCUGUGAUCAGAGGCCUCAUUUUCUACCUUGGUGAGCAGACGGAGUUGAUCAAGGACUAGCAGGUUUUUGAGGACGACCAUGCUGCAGCCAUCCUAGAAGCUCUUCCUACAUUUGUCCUCAACAUCUUUGUGGUCACCAAAGCCAGGGAUAGAGGUCUCCAAAAGCAAGCUGGAACAGCCAUAGAGGGAAUCGAGGUGCUCUUUGGUAUUCCUGGUGUGGCACGUCCUUGUGUGUACCUGAUGGGCCUUAUCUAUGCCCUGGAGCUGAAGAAACUGAAAUAUAUAUUUGAGGUUUUUCAGCAGAUCUUUGUGGAGCUUGAGCAUAAAAACAAAAAAUGUCCUCCAAGGUAAAUAAUCUCAAGGUCACCUUGCAUGGCUAAAAGCCAUAUAGCUGACGUUGAAGGCAGAGGGUUUGAUUGGGCUCCCUCUUAGAAGUUUUACAGUUGUUGUGUUUUUUUUUUAACUGCACUCAAGUUCUCUGAGGACCUCUCCUGGAUGACCAACACCACAUCGCUGGCCAAGAAAGCUCAGUCUCGCCUCUACUUCCUUCGCAGACUGAGAAAAGCACCUGAGAGUCCCACCUCCUAUCAUGUGCUCCUUCUACUGGGGCACCAUCGGGAGCAUUCCCACCAGCUGCAUCACUGUGUGAGGCUGCACUGCGUCCUGUCGAAAGACUCUGCAACGAAUAGUGAAUGCAGCCAGCAAGAUCAUCGGUGUCUCUCUGCCCUCCCUUGUGGACAUCUUCCACACCCGCCUCACUAGCAGAGCCACCAGCAUUGCAGCAGAUGGUACACAGCCGUCAAACCUCCACUUCAGCCUACUGCCUUCAGGCAGAAUGUACCGGAGCCUCCAGGCUCGUUCCACAAGACUUUCUAACAGCCUCGUCCAUCAGGCUGUCAGGAUGCUGAACUCUGUCCAUUAUCUCCCUCCUCUCCCACCUACUUCUGAACUCUAAAAAUCUACAGCUCCCCCCACACUUCCUUCAUUGCACACAAGACACUUUAUACUCUCUGCAGAACUCUGCACACAUGGACCUGUUUACAAACACCUAUUCAAACGUCACACCUACAGACUAUUUACAUCUGACACGGUUUGCACUUUUACACUUUACAGUCUUAUAGCACGACUGUCAUACUGCUGCUGUUCGUCCUGCAUCUUACAAAGGCCUUUAUACCCAGAACUACUGAACCUUUACAUUUAUCUGCAUGCAUAUUUACACCUUUGGAAGUGUAUUUGUAUUUUUUACCAGAAUUCACUGUUUACAUUACUCAGAUUCAUUCAGAUGUUUACAAUAUAUUUUCACUCUGUUUAUUUUUAUCUAUUUAUUACAAGUACACUGCUGUUACCUUCACACACACAGUCUGUUCUAUGUUGCACUGACUGCACUGACCAUGUAAACACUUGAUAAGAGAGAAGAGAAAGGGUAUUUCCAUUCCUCUGUAUGUCUGCACAUAUGGUGGUGUUGACAA